AUAAUAAAUAAUAACAGAGAGAACAUACUGUUAUGGAAACAUAGCAAUAAAGGGAGUAAAUGUUUUUUAUCAAUAAAAAAUAAUAACAGUUGUAAUUAUAAAUAUGGAAAGACCUAUAAAGAGCAACCUAUGGGUCAUAACAAUGACAACAUAUAUACUAACAUCAUGAAUGUUAAAAAUGAAAAAGAUUUAAAAAAAUUUUAUUUUGCUUAUAAUAAAAACAAAUUUUAUGAUAUAUAUAAUGAUUAUGUAUAUUUAAUUAAUAGUAAGUUAAAACAAAAAUGUUCCAAAAAUGAAAUAAAUGAAUGUACUAAAAUUAUAAAAUAUAUUACAAACAGUACGCCAUUGCUAUGCUUCAUAAAAUCGAAAACAAAUCAUUUUGUGGAUCACAGUUUUUAUAGCAAUGGAUUUGAACGGGAUCCUCAUGAAAGUCACGGUUUUUAUUCUAGUAAUAAAAAACACAAAGAUAAAAACGUAUAUCAGUCUGAUAAUACAUACCAAUGUAGCUAUACACAUCAGUACCUGAGUAACAACGAACAUGAUCGAAAUAAUAAACAUAAUAAUAAUAAUAAUAAUAAUAAUACAUACAACAUCCAUAAUAUUGAAAAGACCAUAAUAAACAAAGAAGAGGACAUAAAAAGGAAUAAAAAUAAUAUUUGUUUUAAUUAUUUAUUUAACAACAAUUUAUAUAAAUUUAUUACAAAAUUAAAAAAAUGUGAUAUAUGGAAUUAUAAAGAAAAGAAUAUUAAUAAAAAAUACAUGAACUAUUUUUUAGUAUACCCAAUUGUACAUACGAACAAAAAAAAUGUAAAAAAUGAAACUGAUAAUAAUUCGUUAUGUAACGAUGAUUAUUACUACGAUUCGAAUGUCUUUUUUUACUUUAUACAUAAAAAUAAUAAAGCAUUUUUUUUAAAUAUUUUUAAAAAAAUAAAUUACAACAUUUUGACGUCACAAGAAAUAAAUGGAUUAUUAAUGGUGUUAACAGUUUUGCAUCAUAAUAAUAUUAAUUUGUCAGGAGAUAAAAACAAUAUCAUAAGGAGUAUGUCAAAUACAGAUAUCAUCAAUAAUGGUGAUAUUACGUAUAAAAACAAAGAAUAUGUAAACAAAAAAUCAUUUUCAAACAUGUUUACAAGUAUAUAUAAAUCUAUAGUUAAUAGGAUACAUGAUUUUUCUUUUUUUUAUUUAUAUGAUUAUCUUAUAUUUAUGUGUAUUAAUACGAUCAAAAACAGAGAAGAAUAUAAUGUUAUAAUAAAUGAAUUGUCAAAUUAUAUGAACAUUAUAAACAAACUUAAUAACAGUAACAGUAGUGGUAAUACCAAUGAAGAGCCUGAGCCUGAGCCUGAACUUGAUGAAUUUAUAUUAAAUCAUGACGAGUAUAACAAAAGUAGCAUAAACUACGACAAAACUGUUUUAAAUGUUAAUUCGAAGUGUAGUGGUAAUGAUAUGAUGGAUGGAGUAGGUGUUAACAAUGGUAGUGGUAAAGUGUGUUAUGAAGAUCACACAUUUCACAAAACGAGAGAAAAACAAAAUACAAGUCCAUAUAACAUAAGCUUGGAGGAUAAUAAUUUAUGUAGUAGUAGCAUAAACACACGUACCUUCUCAGAAGACUCUAACGAAAUGAUCGUUAAUACCAAUCAAUAUACCAAUGACAACUUUCGAAUUAAUAAAAAAACUUAUUUUUAUAUAAAAGAAAACAUGCUUUAUAUUAAAAAUAAUAUAAUAGGAAAAGUACUUUUAUUAUAUAUUAUGAAAUAUAUAUUCAGCAAUUUAGAUAAUAAUCUGUUAUAUGCUCAUUCUGAUUUAAUUAGUGAAAAUUUGAUAUUAAUUUCACAUAGUAUGAUAACUAAUUUUAUUCAUACGAUAGGCACAUGCAAAUAUAUAGAUGAGUUUUGUAUGUUUAUGUUAGCUAAAUAUGUACAAAAUAAUGUACAUAUGUAUACACCUAAUGAAUUAAAUAUAAUAGUAAAUACAUAUGCUGAUGCAGCAUUAGAAGAUGUUAGUUUUUAUGAAACUGUAUGUGACCACAUAAAAAAAUGUUUUCAUAUGUUUACUUCUACAGACCUAAUAAAAAUAUUAUAUGCUUUUUCGAAAGUUAGAAUACGCGAUUUGGAUUUAUUAAAAAUGUCAUGUGGCAAAAUUGGUAAAUAUAUUGAAGAUAGAGAAUCACGGAUGUAUUCGGGAAGUAGUGGGAGUAGUGGUAGUAGCGGUAGUAGCGGUAGUAGCGGUAGUAGCGACAGAAACGACUAUACAACGAUUAACGAACUGACUAUUAACAAAUUACCCAAACACAAAUACAAAAUGCCAAACAAAAAAAUAAUAAAAAAAAAUGUUAUUAAUAAAUACUUGUGUGCAUAUGCUAUUGUUGCUUUUGGUAAGUUAGACUAUCCUAUAAAAAUGAAUAAAUUAUUUUUAUAUUUAAAAGAGAGUAUAAAAAAUGAUGGCAUAGACAUAAGAGGUAUAUUAUGGAUGCCAAUUGUAAUACCAAAUUUUUUAACAUAUGAAUGUAUAUUUGAGUUUUUGCCUAUAUAUAUACAAUUAAUUUAUGAUGCUUUUAUAAAAACUAAAUCAAUUCGACUUUUAACUUUAUUAACAAGAAGGCAUCACAUUUUAUUACAUACUAUUGAAACAAAUAUAAUUCCGAAGAAAUAUAUAAAUAAAAAAACUUUAAAAAAUUUGUAUUUUAUAUGUAAGAAUAAUAAAGAUUCAUAUAAAGAAAAAACCUUUACUCCUGACAGUUCUACGUUUCACAUCGAAGUGUCAAAUGCGUUACUAUCAUUGGACAUUCCCCACAAAAAAGAAGUGAAUGUUUAUCCUUUUACAAUUGACAUUUUUAUUAAUCCAGGGAUUGAAGGGAAUACUACAGACACAACUGUUUUAAUCGAUGAGCACGAUCAACCAAUCACCACUAUGGACUACAAAAACGGACGACUGGGUAUUGGCAAUAA
ensembl:lncRNA